GUGGCUGGCCUCAGUGGUGGCUGCACUUGCUAGACGUGGAAUGCAGCCAUGAGCAGCCACGAACAGCAAAGCAAAUGGUUCCUGCCGACAGUGUCUGAAGAGCUAUCGGGAUGUCUGUGCGAUGGUUCCAUACACU
rnacentral:snoRNA from 1 species